GAAACAUCUGCGCACGCGCACAAGUUACCGCCAGGGCAAAGGCUUACAGACCGUCAACGGUGGGAAAAUGCGGCUGUACAAGAAAAGUGGGCCCAGUGUUGGUUGGAGAGUACUGUUUGUGGCUUGUAAGAAUCUUAAAACCCCUACAGACAUUGGACAGAAAGAUGGACUGAGGGACGGCUGGAAUAUCACCCAGGCCAUGGAACAAAAAGAAGAUUCGCCCAGCCAGUUUGACUGCAGUAACUGAGCUCAGGGAAACAUGAGAGGACAAAGCUUUUAGCAGCUUAAGGAUGGCUUCCCUCACCUGCAUGGAGAGCUCCUU